rnacentral:rRNA from 1 species
AGAUUGGACGCUGGCGGCAGGCCUAACACAUGCAAGUCGAGCGGUAGAGAGGUGCUUGCACCUCUUGAGAGCGGCGGACGGGUGAGUAAUGCCUAGGAAUCUGCCUAGUGGUGGGGGAUAACGUUCGGAAACGGACGCUAAUACCGCAUACGUCCUACGGGAGAAAGCGGGGGACCUUCGGGCCUCGCGCCAUUAGAUGAGCCUAGGUCGGAUUAGCUAGUUGGUGAGGUAAUGGCUCACCAAGGCGACGAUCCGUAACUGGUCUGAGAGGAUGAUCAGUCACACUGGAACUGAGACACGGCCCAGACCUCCUACGGGAGCAGCAGUGGGGAAUAUUGGACAAGUGGGACGAAAGCCUGAUCCAGCCCAUGCCGCGUGUGUGAAGAGGGUCUUCGGAUU